rnacentral:RNase_P_RNA from 1 species
GCGGAGGGGGAUGAGGUCGCGGGCCGGCGCAAGCUCGGCUCGAGGAAAGUCCGGGCUCCACAGGGCACGGUGCCGGGUAACGCCCGGGCGUCGCGAGGCGACGGAAAGUGUCACAGAGAACAGACCGCCGAUGGCGGGCGGCUUCGGCUGCACGCACAGGCAAGGGUGAAACGGUGGGGUAAGAGCCCACCGCGCGUGCCGGAGACGGCCGCGGCACGACAAACCCCACCGGGAGCAAGGCCAAGCAGGAGCGAGCGGCGGCCCGCCGCGUUCGAGCUUCGGGUAGGCCGCAAGAGGCGUCGGGAGACCGGCGUCCCAGAGAGAUGACCUCAGCGGGCUUCGGCCCGCCCACAGAACCCGGCUUACCCCCCUCCGCCGGU